GAUGAACGCUGGGCGUGCCUAAUACAUGCAAGUCGAGCGAACAGAUAAGGAGCUUGCUCCUUUGACGUUAGCGGCGGACGGGUGAGUAACACGUGGAUAACCUACCUAUAAGACUGGGAUAACUUCGGGAAACCGGAGCUAAUACCGGAUAACAUAUUGAACCGCAUGGUUCAAUAGUGAAAGGCGGCUUUGCUGUCACUUAUAGAUGGAUCCGCGCCGUAUUAGCUAGUUGGUAAGGUAACGGCUUACCAAGGCAACGAUACGUAGCCGACCUGAGAGGGUGAUCGGCCACACUGGAACUGAGACACGGUCCAGACUCCUACGGGAGGCAGCAGUAGGGAAUCUUCCGCAAUGGGCGAAAGCCUGACGGAGCAACGCCGCGUGAGUGAUGAAGGUCUUCGGAUCGUAAAACUCUGUUAUCAGGGAAGAACAAAUGUGUAAGUAACUGUGCACAUCUUGACGGUACCUGAUCAGAAAGCCACGGCUAACUACGUG
rnacentral:rRNA from 1 species